CCUACGGGAGGCAGCAGUGAGGAAUAUUGGUCAAUGGACGCAAGCCUGAACCAGCCAUGCCGCGUGAAGGAAGACGGCUCUACGAGUUGUAAACUGCUUUUGUAAGAGGGUAAACGCAGAUACGUGUGUCUGUCUGAAAGUAUUGUACGAAUAAGGAUCGGCUAACUCCGUGCCAGCAGCCGCGGUAAUACGGAGGAUUCAAGCGUUAUCCGGAUUUAUUGGGUUUAAAGGGUGCGUAGUAGGUGGGAUAAGUAAGAGGUGAAAGCCCGAGGCUCAACCUUGAAAUUGCCUUUGAUACUGUCAGUCUAGAGUAUAGUUGCGGUAGGCGGAAUGUGUGGUGUAGCGGUGAAAUGCUUAGAGAUCAUAAAGAACACCGAUUGCGAAGGCAGCUUACCAAGCUGCUACUGACGUUGAGGCACGAAAGCGUGGGGAGCAAACAGGAUUAGAUACCCGAGUAGUC
rnacentral:rRNA from 1 species